UGCGAAAGCAGGUCAUAGUGAUCCGGUGGUUCUGAAUGGAAGGGCCAUCGCUCAACGGAUAAAAGGUACUCCGGGGAUAACAGGCUGAUACCGCCCAAGAGUUCAUAUCGACGGCGGUGUUUGGCACCUCGAUGUCGGCUCAUCACAUCCUGGGGCUGAAGUAGGUCCCAAGGGUAUGGCUGUUCGCCAUUUAAAGUGGUACGCGAGCUGGGUUUAGAACGUCGUGAGACAGUUCGGUCCCUAUCUGCCGUGGGCGCUGGAGAACUGAGGGGGGCUGCUCCUAGUACGAGAGGACCGGAGUGGACGCAUCACUGGUGUUCGGGUUGUCAUGCCAAUGGCACUGCCCGGUAGCUAAAUGCGGAAGAGAUAAGUGCUGAAAGCAUCUAAGCACGAAACUUGCCCCGAGAUGAGUUCUCCCUGAGACUUAGAGUCUCCUGAAGGAACGUUGAAGACGACGACGUUGAUAGGCCGGGUGUGUAAGCGCAGCGAUGCGUUGAGCUAACCGGUACUAAUGAACCGUGAGGCUUAACCUU
rnacentral:rRNA from 2 species